rnacentral:rRNA from 1 species
CAGUCGCCGCGGUAAUACGUAGGGUGCAAGCGUUAAUCGGAAUUACUGGGCGUAAAGCGUGCGCAGGCGGUUUUGUAAGACAGAGGUGAAAUCCCCGGGCUCAACCUGGUAACUGCCUUUGUGACUGCAAGGCUAGAGUACGGCAGAGGGGGAUGGAAUUCCGCGUGUAGCAGUGAAAUGCGUAGAUAUGCGGAGGAACACCGAUGGCGAAGGCAAUCCCCUGGGCCUGUACUGACGCUCAUGCACGAAAGCGUGGGGAGCAAACAGGAUUAGAUACCCGAGUAGUCCCUGUCUCUUAUAC